CCUACGGGGGGCUGUAGUGAGGAAUAUUGGUCAAUGGACGAGAGUCUGAACCAGCCAAGUAGCGUGAAGGAUGACUGCCCUAUGGGUUGUAAACUUCUUUUAUAUGGGAAUAAAAUGUUCCACGUGUGGGAUUUUGUAUGUACCAUAUGAAUAAGGAUCGGCUAACUCCGUGCCAGCAGCCGCGGUAAUACGGAGGAUCCGAGCGUUAUCCGGAUUUAUUGGGUUUAAAGGGAGCGUAGGUGGAUUGUUAAGUCAGUUGUGAAAGUUUGCGGCUCAACCGUAAAAGUGCAGUUGAAACUGGCAGUCUUGAGUACAGUAGAGGUGGGCGGAAUUCGUGGUGUAGCGGUGAAAUGCUUAGAUAUCACGAAGAACUCCGAUUGCGAAGGCAGUUCACUGGACUGCAACUGACACUGAGGCUCGAAAGUGUGGGUAUCAAACAGGAUUAGAUACCCCAGUAGUC
rnacentral:rRNA from 1 species